GAAAUGCGAUAAUUAAUGUGAAUUGCAGAAUUCAGUGAAUCAUCGAGUCUUUGAACGCACAUUGCACCCCCUGGUAUUCCGGGGGGUAUGCCUGUCCGAGCGUCAUUGCUGCCCUCAAGCACGGCUUGUGUGUUGGGUCGUCGUCCCCCCCCCCGGGGACGGGCCCGAAAGGCAGCGGCGGCACCGCGUCCGGUCCUCGAGCGUAUGGGGCUUUGUCACCCGCUCUUGUAGGCCCGGCCGGCGCUGGCCGACGCUGAAAAGCAACCAACUAUUUCUCCAGGUUGACCUCGGAUCAGGUAGGGAUACCCGCCGAACUUAAGC
rnacentral:misc_RNA from 1 species